rnacentral:lncRNA from 1 species
AGGCAACACUCACUUUUGCAAGGCGCCCCUUUGUCUCUCCUGAUUUUUAAGUGUGGUUCUCACUCUAAAAUGCAGAUUCUCCAAGCUGUUAAUAAGACUUAUUAUCUCCUAAUGCUCUUCCCCUGUUUCUUUUCAGAGGCUGUUCCCAGCAGCACUGCUUGUGACUGACUAACACAGGAAAUUAGGAGCAGCUCCACAGCUGUGGCUGCACAGGGUGGGAGAGGAGAUUUCUGGAGAGAGGCAGAAGCAAGAACUGGUGCUGGGGUGGUGGGUGCAAGACACCCUGAGCUGCAUUUCCCACCCCACUGAGCAAACAGUGGCUGUGGAGCCGGCAGGAUUUAGGGGAAGGAUGAGCCUUUACCAAAAGCCUUGAGUUUCUCCUUCAUAAAGUCUUUCUUCCAACUUUCAGAGCCCCAAUAAAGUUGCACAUGGUAUUGCUGCUAUUGCUCUGUGCUGACUGCAAGGUUUCAUGCCCAGAGCACAAGAUUUAAUGCUGCACUAUCCCCAGCCUACAUCUGUGUGCAGUGGCCAGCGUUUGCUCCCUCCAGAGUGCUUCCAAAACUCAGGGCUGACAUCUCCCAGGAAGCACUGGGGAUGAUCAGUGUUUUCCCCAGGAUGUUGUGCCCUGGUUUGCACUAAUUAUGAGAUGCUGGUCCCAUUAUUAUGAAGCAAAAUUGGCAAGUGCUGGAAAGAGCACCACAAAAACUGGUGGAGUGGUAAGAUUGAAGUGAGGUGGAAAUAAUAUCUGCUCUGUAUGGGAGGCCUGGAUUUGCUAAUUGGACAUGGCUAAGGAGAGGAAGAUGCUGAAGCAUUUGCAGGCUGGAAUUGGGUGGCCAAGCCAAAGUCUAGCACCCAUUUCACCUCAAGUACCUAAUCCUGAGUACUCAGAAAACCACUUUUCAAAGCCUCACCUACAAGAGGGGACAAUGGUGAGUUAUGGGGGUUUUAGUUUGCUUUGCAAUUAGGAAUUUUUGGGAUUUUCUAGUUUUUCUUACAGGGAAAAUCCUCUUGCAAACUCAAAGGUGAAGCUUGUUCCCACACCAGUGUUUCCCCUCCUCUGCUUCUCAGACAACUUUAUUUGUAGGAUGGUGAUAAUGAGAAUUCUACUGCUAUUGAUUUUUUUUAAAAGCAUAUAUAACUUUGAAACACUGUAGAUAUUGCAUGGACUUUGGAACAAGAUAAGAAGAGGUAAUCACAUUCACAGUACCUCUAGCCCUUUAAUUAGUCUGGACAGCAAAGUCUAGCUGUAUUCCUAGAGCAGACUGACUACCUCUCCUGAAUAUUCUCAUUUUCUAUGCAAAUGUG